CCCUUAGAUGUUCUGGGCCGCACGCGUGCUACACUGAGUGGAUCAGCGGGUCAGGUUGCGCGAAAGUGUUUCCUAAUCUUUAAAUCCGCUCGUGAUGGGGAUUGACGGUUGCAAUUUUCCGUCAUGAACGAGGAAUACCUUGUAAGCGCGGGUCAUCAUCCCGCGCUGAAUACGUCCCUGCCCUUUGUACACACCGCCCGUCGCACCUACCGAUUGAAUGUUUCGGUGAAGAUUCCGGAUAGGACUUUUUUGAUUUAUUUCAAUUUUGUCUUAAAAGCUAUCUAAACCUCAACAUUUAGAGGAAGGUGAAGUCGUAACA
rnacentral:rRNA from 1 species